GGAGGAGUCCCAGUAAGAGCUUCCUUCCGGUAAAACUGUAAGAUACAGAAAAGAAUAGCAUGGCCAAUGGCAAGGAUCACAUGCAAAUGCAUGAAGCAUACUUUAUUUAU
ensembl:snRNA U6 U6 spliceosomal RNA